rnacentral:rRNA from 1 species
UUGCUGACGAGUGGCGGACGGGUGAGUAAUGUCUGGGAAACUGCCCGAUGGAGGGGGAUAACUACUGGAAACGGUAGCUAAUACCGCAUAACGUCUUCGGACCAAAGAGGGGGACCUUCGGGCCUCUUGCCAUCGGAUGUGCCCAGAUGGGAUUAGCUAGUAGGUGGGGUAACGGCUCACCUAGGCGACGAUCCCUAGCUGGUCUGAGAGGAUGACCAGCCACACUGGAACUGAGACACGGUCCAGACUCCUACGGGAGGCAGCAGUGGGGAAUAUUGCACAAUGGGCGCAAGCCUGAUGCAGCCAUGCCGCGUGUAUGAAGAAGGCCUUCGGGUUGUAAAGUACUUUCAGCGGGGAGGAAGGGAGUGAGGUUAAUAACCUCAUUCAUUGACGUUACCCGCAGAAGAAGCACCGGCUAACUCCGUGCCAGCAGCCGCGGUAAUACGGAGGGUGCAAGCGUUAAUCGGAAUUACUGGGCGUAAAGCGCACGCAGGCGGUCUGUCAAGUCGGAUGUGAAAUCCCCAGGCUCAACCUGGGAACUGCAUUCGAAACUGGCAGGCUUGAGUCUCGUAGAGGGGGGUAGAAUUCCAGGUGUAGCGGUGAAAUGCGUAGAGAUCUGGAGGAAUACCGGUGGCGAAGGCGGCCCCCUGGACGAAGACCGACGCUCAGGUGCGAAAGCGUGGGGAGCAAACAGGAUUAG